rnacentral:rRNA from 1 species
GGUUAAGCGACUAAGCGUACACGGUGGAUGCCCUGGCAGUCAGAGGCGAUGAAGGACGUGCUAAUCUGCGAUAAGCGUCGGUAAGGUGAUAUGAACCGUUAUAACCGGCGAUUUCCGAAUGGGGAAACCCAGUGUGUUUCGACACACUAUCAUUAACUGAAUCCAUAGGUUAAUGAGGCGAACCGGGGGAACUGAAACAUCUAAGUACCCCGAGGAA